GCCUCGGUGGUCGAAUUGGUUGAGACGCCCGCCUAGCGAGAGGGAGGUUCCAGGUUCAAACCCUGGCCGAGGUG